UAACUCAUAUUUAUAUCGAGUAAACUGGUUCUAAUACAAAUACGUGCGUAUCGUUCUGUCUUUUUUUUCUCCUUCACGGAAAGCAUCAUUUUUUUUUCAGAAGUUUUUUGGUGUCAGCUUUGAACUAAAUAAUUAAGAAUCUGUCGCUUUUUUUCAGAGAGAAUCUGUCACCUUUUGCCUUAAAGCGGAAGUGGUUGCCAUUAGAUGCAUGAACUGCACUGUCCCACAACCUGAAUUCCUCGACUCUUGCUGCGAUGGCACGCCUGAUGUAAUCCACAGACCCAUCUCGGCAUUCAAAACAUUGAAGAUUGCGUCCAGUAAUUGGAUUGUGAAGGCCCCACCAUGAUCGCGACUUCCGUGGAAAAAAUAAAAACGAGUGGAAACGCAGAUGCUGCUGCUUUUCUCUCGAGUUGUUGGUCGGUCUUUUGCUUAACAGUAGAGAACUGCUUCCUGUUAGUCUUGGAGGGGUCAGCACUCACUUUCUUCCUUGAAAUUAUUGAUGAGCAGAGAGUUUGGGGCAAUUCUCUAAGAAACAAAACUUAUUUGAUUUCUUUUUUUUUUUAAAUUUUCAUAUUUGUUUGGGGUAACCAGUCUUACAUGCAUGUGUAUAUGACCAAGCCGCAAGCCGCAGCAGGGUGGUCAUGCAGCUAGUAGUGUCUUAGCAUUGUUCACCCAUGAACAUGUACAAAUUUUUACGUAUAAGUAGCUGCAUACCAAUCUCCAACUACUAUAGUUUGGUUGCAAG
rnacentral:lncRNA from 1 species